UACGGAAGGGGCAAGCGUUGUUCGGAAUCAUUGGGCGUAAAGGGCGCGUAGGUGGUUCUGUAUGUCUACCGUGAAAGCAUACAGCUCAACUGUAUUUUGUCGGUAGAAACUGCAGGACUUGAGGCUGGGAGGGGCUGGUGGAAUUCCUGGUGUAGCGGUGAAAUGCGCAGAUAUCAGGAAGAACACCCGUGGCUAAGGCGGCUCUCUAGUACGGUACUGACGCUGAGACGCGAAAGCGCGGGGAGCGAACAGG
rnacentral:rRNA from 1 species